CACUUUGUGAUUCUGAAUUCCUCACAUAUAUUCUUGCUAGUCUUGACUCGUCCUAUAACCCCAUUGUCACUUCUAUUUCCACUAGAGUUGAUCAAUUUUCUCUUGAAGAUGCAUAUGCUCAUCUGUUAAGCUUUGAAC